AUUAUCCUGACAAAUUAAAUAAACCACUCCAUUGCAGAAAGGCUCGGGCCGGCAGGCCUCGCUCCACUGCAGCCCCGGGAAGUCGAAUCAACACUGAGGUGGAACUGCUGGCAGUUCCAGCUAACUUCAGCCAGGGAGGAAAAUGCCAGGGGGUGCUCAGGACCUGAGCGGGUCAGCGGCACCCCGAGCCGCCCUGCAGCAGGUACCGACCACUGCGCCGAGGGCUGAGGCUCCCGGAAGUGCGGAGAGUUCCUUCCCACUGUGUGGCCCUGGAAGCGUGAAUGGCCCCACAGCUCGGGUUCGCCUCAGCCAUCAACACAGUGGAUUUUCUUCCUUCAUCUCCAAACCACAUGAAAAUCAAAUGAGCAUCUUUAUCCAGUGCUCUGAAUUUCCUGCGCCUACAAGAGCAUUUGAAAUAAGUGACGCAUGUGGAUUCUCACAGGUAAGAAAGGCAAAACUGGCUGUCUCGUGUCCACCGACUCCA
rnacentral:lncRNA from 1 species